CCCCCUCUCUCCUCUAUGGGUAGACCCUUCAGUCGCCGUCGAUUGCCGGAGAUUUCCUCCGAUUUUCCCGUUUGAAGCCACGACUCCUCGAUCCAUGUUCGCCACGAUUGCACGCCGGUGGGGGUCACCGGAGGUUGUGGUAAGGUCUUCCUUCUCUCCCUCUCUUCUCUCCCUUCUUUUUCGUGCUUGUGAGCACGAUGGCCGGCGACGGGUGUCGCCGGAUUUAGUUGGAGAAGGAAACCCCCUGUUCGCCGCCUCUUUCCUC
rnacentral:lncRNA from 1 species